rnacentral:piRNA from 1 species
AACAUGGAAGGUUACUCUGGUGCGGACAU